rnacentral:rRNA from 1 species
CUUCACUGCAUCUUGGGAUUGAAUCUGGUCUUUAAUUGCGCAGAAUAGGUGGGAGGCGUUGAAGGAGAUCUUGUGGGAUCUUUGGAGCCGCUCGUGAGAUACCACUCUUUUAAAGCUCGGAUUCUCACUCUCUUCCGUAAGCCGGGGAGAGGACACUCCCAGGUGGGCAGUUUGACUGGGGCGGUCGCCUCCUAAAAGGUAACGGAGGCGCACAAAGGUUUCCUCAGAUCGGAUAGAAAUCGAUCGUAGAGUGUAAAGGCAAAAGGAAGCUUGACUGCGAGACGGACAAGUCGAGCAGGGACGAAAGUCGGUCUUAGUGAUCCGACGAUCCUGAGUGGAAAGGUCGUCGCUCAACGGAUAAAAGUUA